rnacentral:tRNA from 1 species
UCCCUGGUGUCUCAGUGGUGAAGAAUCUGCCUGCAAGGCAGGAGAUACAGGUUUGAUCCCUGGGUGGGGAA